rnacentral:rRNA from 1 species
CAAUAGCGUAUACUAAUGUUGUUGCAGUUAAAAAGCUCGUAGUUGAACUUCUGGUAGGAGUGUCCCGGCCUUUUUGUUUUUACAAAUUGUAUGCUGUGUGACAUCUCUGGCCAUCCUUCUUCUUUGUUUAAAGAAGAUCUUUCACUGUAAAAAAAUUAGGGUGUUCAAAGCAAAAGUUUCUUUGGAAUAUAUUAGUAUGGGAUGAUAAGAUAGGCUCUAGAUGCUAUUUUGUUGGUUUGCACAUUUAGAGAAUGAUUAACAGGGACAGUUGGGGGUAUUCGUAUUUACAUGUCAGAGGUGAAAUUCAUGGAUUUUGGAAAGACGAACUACUGCGAAAGCAUUUACCAAGGAUGUUUUCAUUAA